AAGGAGCACCAACUGGCCCGCGUCGACCCAACCCCCUCGGGGGGCGGGUGCGCAGGUCGGUGGCCGCCGUUGACAGCGGAUGUCUGUCAGGUGGCUGCUCAUAGAUGUGGAGCACUGGCUACUCAGCUCACCGCUCGUGUGAGCCGGCAAGUACCGCCUCCCAGACCCGUGGGGGUGUUGGGGGGAGUGGGAACGGCGGUGUCGGGCGGGUGGUGGGUUGGACACGCUGUUGGGUCCUGAGGGAACGGGCGCAAGCCCGGGUGACCUCGGACUGCGGGACCAGGACCGCAUUCCUUUGUCGGGGGUGUGGUUUUGGUGGGCCCGGUUGUUUUUUGAGAACUGCACAGUGGACGCGAGCAUCUCUGGCGAAUGAUGAGAGUUGCGCGGGGAGCCCUUUUGGGGGUUUCUUCGGGUUGUUCUUGUUGUUUAUCUGCGAUUUGUUUUGAUCGUUUUGU
rnacentral:misc_RNA from 1 species